UGGUGUGGGGGAGAUCUGGCUGUGACAUCCAUCACUGCACUGAUCACCAGGGUUGAUGAGGCUGAUCUGGUUGGCUGGUGGGUGUCCCCUUCCCCUCACUUCUCCCCGUGUAUCCCUCCAGAAUUUGUGUGCUAGGAUGAGGGGAACAGGCUGUGGUCAAGGGCAAGGCACAGGUGCAGCUGUGCUCCCCUGCCAGAGCCUCCAAACCAGCUCAAAAAGUCUAGCUUUAAAUGUUUCUUAUUUUUGGAAAGCCCUUCCUAAUUUUGUGCUAAAAAAAUCUUU
rnacentral:snRNA from 1 species